UUUCUUCGGAACUGAAGAUUUGGUGAUUGAGUGGCGGACGGGUGAGUAACGCGUGGGUAACCUACCCUGUACAGGAGGAUAACAGUCAGAAAUGACUGCUAAUACCGCAUAAGACCACAGCACCGCAUGGUGCAGGGGUAAAAACUCCGGUGGUACAGGAUGGACCCGCGUCUGAUUAGCUAGUUGGCAGGGCAACGGCCUACCAAGGCGACGAUCAGUAGCCGACCUGAGAGGGUGACCGGCCACAUUGGGACUGAGACACGGCCCAAACUCCUACGGGAGGCAGCAGUGGGGAAUAUUGCACAAUGGGGGAAACCCUGAUGCAGCGACGCCGCGUGAGCGAAGAAGUAUUUCGGUAUGUAAAGCUCUAUCAGCAGGGAAGAAGAAAUGACGGUACCUGACUAAGAAGCACCGGCUAAAUACGUGCCAGCAGCCGCGGUAAUACGUAUGGUGCAAGCGUUAUCCGGAUUUACUGGGUGUAAAGGGAGCGCAGGCGGAAGGCUAAGUCUGAUGUGAAAGCCCGGGGCUCAACCCCGGUACUGCAUUGGAAACUGGUCAUCUAGAGUGUCGGAGGGGUAAGUGGAAUUCCUAGUGUAGCGGUGAAAUGCGUAGAUAUUAGGAGGAACACCAG
rnacentral:rRNA from 1 species